rnacentral:rRNA from 1 species
GAUGAACGCUGGCGGCGUGCCUAAUACAUGCAAGUCGAGCGAACAGACGAGGAGCUUGCUCCUCUGACGUUAGCGGCGGACGGGUGAGUAACACGUGGAUAACCUACCUAUAAGACUGGGAUAACUUCGGGAAACCGGAGCUAAUACCGGAUAAUAUAUUGAACCGCAUGGUUCAAUAGUGAAAGACGGUUUUGCUGUCACUUAUAGAUGGAUCCGCGCCGCAUUAGCUAGUUGGUAAGGUAACGGCUUACCAAGGCAACGAUGCGUAGCCGACCUGAGAGGGUGAUCGGCCACACUGGAACUGAGACACGGUCCAGACUCCUACGGGAGGCAGCAGUAGGGAAUCUGCCGCAAUGGGCGGAAGCCUGACGGAGCAGCGCCGCGUGAGUGAUGAAGGUCUUCGGAUCGUAAAACUCUGUUAUUAGGGAAGAACAAAUGUGUAAGUAACUAUGCACGUCUUGACGGUACCUAAUCAGAAAGCCACGGCUAACUACGUG